AAUAAUACACGCGAUAACUGCACGAAUAACACAGCAAAAAGCAGCCAAAUCACCCAUGCUAACACCAAUCUCAUCUGCCACUUUAUCUGCCCCUUCUUGCUUUCCUUUCUUUCUUGCUUUCCUUUCUUUCUUUCUUUCUUUGC
rnacentral:ribozyme from 1 species